rnacentral:rRNA from 1 species
UGCCGCGUGCAGGACGAAGGCCUUCGGGUUGUAAACUGCUUUUGUACGGAACGAAACGGCUCUCUCUAAUACAGGGGGCUAAUGACGGUACCGUAAGAAUAAGCACCGGCUAACUACGUGCCAGCAGCCGCGGUAAUACGUAGGGUGCGAGCGUUAAUCGGAAUUACUGGGCGUAAAGCGUGCGCAGGCGGUUUUGUAAGACAGAUGUGAAAUCCCCGGGCUCAACCUGGGACCUGCAUUUGUGACUGCAAAGCUAGAGUACGGCAGAGGGGGAUGGAAUUCCGCGUGUAGCAGUGAAAUGCGUAGAUAUGCGGAGGAACACCGAUGGCGAAGGCAAUCCCCUGGGCCUGUACUGACGCUCAUGCACGAAAGCGUGGGGAGCAAACAGGAUUAGAUACCCUGGUAGUCCACGCCCUAAACGAUGUCAACUGGUUGUUGGGUCUUCACUGACUCAGUAACGAAGCU